rnacentral:rRNA from 1 species
UACGGAGGGAGCUAGCGUUGUUCGGAAAUACUGGGCGUAAAGCGCACGUAGGCGGCGCAGCAAGUCAGGGGUGAAAUCCCGGGGCUCAACCCCGGAACUGCCCUUGAAACUGCAGUGCUAGAAUUCUGGAGAGGCGAGUGGAAUUUCGAGUGUAGAGGUGAAAUUCGUAGAUAUUCGCAAGAACACCAGUGGCGAAGGCGGCUCACUGGCCCAUUACUGACGCUGAGGCACGAAAGCGUGGGGAGCAAACAGG